CCUACGGGAGGCAGCAGUGGGGAAUUUUGCGCAAUGCUCGUAAGAGUGACGCAGCGACGCCGCGUGAAUGACGAAGGCCUUCGGGUCGUAAAGUUCUUUCGACAGGGAAGAAAAUGCCUAUAAGUAACUGUGUAUGUAUUGACGGUACCUGUAUAAGCAGCCCCGGCUAACUCCGUGCCAGCAGCCGCGGUAAUACGGAGGGGGCGAGCGUUGUUCGGAGGGACUGGGCGUAAAGAGCACGUAGGCGGUGGUGUAAGUCAUUAGUCAAAGACUAGAGCUCAACUUUAGUAAGGCUAGUGAUACUAUAAUACUAGAGUAUCAGAGAGGAUUGCAGAAUUCCUGGUGUAGCGGUGAAAUGCGUAGAUAUCAGGAGGAAUACCGUUAGCGAAGGCGGCAAUCUGGCUGGAAACUGACGCUGAGGUGCGAAAGCGUGGGUAGCAAACAGGAUUAGAUACCCCAGUAGUC
rnacentral:rRNA from 1 species